rnacentral:rRNA from 1 species
UGGGGAAUUUUGGACAAUGGGCGAAAGCCUGAUCCAGCAAUGCCGCGUGUGUGAAGAAGGCCUUCGGGUUGUAAAGCGCUUUUGUCCGGAAAGAAAAAGCUUUGGUUAAUACGAGGGGUCCAUGACGGUACCGGAAGAAUAAGCACCGGCUAACUACGUGCCAGCAGCCGCGGUAAUACGUAGGGUGCAAGCGUUAAUCGGAAUUACUGGGCGUAAAGCGUGCGCAGGCGGUUGUGCAAGACCGAUGUGAAAUCCCCGGGCUCAACCUGGGAAUUGCAUUGGUGACUGCACGGCUAGAGUGCGUCAGAGGGGGGUGGAAUUCCACGUGUAGCAGUGAAAUGCGUAGA